UACAUGGGGAGCAAACGUUGCUCGGAAUUAUUGGGCGUAAAGCGCGCGUAGGCGGUUGCUUAAGUCGGAUGUGAAAGACCUCGGCUUAACUGAGGAAGUGCAUCCGAGACUGAGCAGCUAGAGUACGAAAGAGGGUCGCGGAAUUCCCGGUGUAGAGGUGAAAUUCGUAGAGAUCGGGAGGAACACCGGCGGCGAAGGCGGCGACCUGGUUCGAGACUGACGCUGAGGCGCGAAAGCGUGGGGAGCAAACAGG
rnacentral:rRNA from 1 species